rnacentral:rRNA from 1 species
GAUGAACGCUGGCGGCGUGCCUAAUACAUGCAAGUCGAGCGAACGGACGAGAAGCUUGCUUUUCUGAUGUUAGCGGCGGACGGGUGAGUAACACGUGGAUAACCUACCUAUAAGACUGGGAUAACUUCGGGAAACCGGAGCUAAUACCGGAUAAUAUUUUGAACCGCAUGGUUCAAAGGUGAAAGACGGUCUUGCUGUCACUUAUAGAUGUAUCCGCGCUGCAUUAGCUAGUUGGUAAGGUAACGGCUUACCAAGGCAACGAUGCAUAGCCGACCUGAGAGGGUGAUCGGCCACACUGGAACUGAGACACGGUCCAGACUCCUACGGGAGGCAGCAGUAGGGAAUCUUCCGCAAUGGGCGAAAGCCUGACGGAGCAACGCCGCGUGAGUGAUGAAGGUCUUCGGAUCGUAAAACUCUGUUAUUAGGGAAGAACAUAUGUGUAAGUAACUGUGCACAUCUUGACGGUACCUAAUCAGAAAGCCACGGCUAACUACGUG